AACUAACAGGAUUCCCCUAGUAACUGCGAGUGAAGCGGGAAGAGCUCAAAUUUUGAAUCUGGCGGCCUUCUGGGUCGUCCGAGUUGUAAUCUAGAGAAGCGUUUUCCGUGCUGGACCGUGUACAAGUCUCCUGGAAGGGAGCGUCAUAGAGGGUGAGAAUCCCGUCUUUGACACGGAGGACCCAGUGCUAUGUGAUGCGCUCUCGACGAGUCGAGUUGUUUGGGAAUGCAGCUCAAAACGGGUGGUAAAUUCCAUCUAAAGCUAAAUAUGGGCGAGAGACCGAUAGCGAACAAGUACCGUGAGGGAAAGAUGAAAAGAACUUUGGAAAGAGAGUUAAACAGUACGUGAAAUUGCUGAAAGGGAAACGCUUGAUGUCAGUCGCGUCGGUCGGGGAUCAACCCUUGCUUCUUGCUGGGCGUACUUCCCGGCGGACGGGUCAGCAUCAGUUUCGGACGUCGUACAAGGGCGAGAGGAACGUGACACUCUUCGGAGUGUGUUUAUAGCCUUUUCGUCGUAUGCGACGUUCGGGACUGAGGAACUCAGCACGGCUUUUUCAAAGCUUUUUGUGCUUCAGGAUGCUGGCAUAAUGGCCUUAAGCGACCCGUCUUGAAACACGGACCAAGGAGUCUAACAUGCCUGCGAGUGUUCGGGUGGCAAACCCGAGCGCACAAUGAAAGUGAAAGUUGAGACCUCUGUCGUGGAGGGCAUCGACGCCCGGACCC
rnacentral:rRNA from 1 species